rnacentral:rRNA from 1 species
UUUAACCUGCCCAAUGAUUAAUUUAAUGGCCGCAGUAUAUUGACUGUGCAAAGGUAGCGUAAUCAUUAGUUUUUUAAUUAAAAGCUUGUAUGAAGGGUUGGACGAGGUAAAAACUGUCUUUUUAUAAUUUAAUAUAGAAUUUAACUUUUAAGUAAAAAGGCUUAAAUGAAUUUAAAAGACGAGAAGACCCUAUAGAUCUUUAUAUAUUUAUUUAUUAUAUUAAUUUAGAAUUAUUAUAAUUUAAUUUAUAAAUAUAUUGUAUUGGGGUAAUAUAAAGAUUUAAAAAAUUCUUUAUUUUUUUUAUCAUAAAUUUAUGAAUAUAUGAUCCAAUAUUAUUGAUUAAAAGAUUAAGUUACCUUAGGGAUAACAGCGUAAUUUUUUUAAAGAGUUCAUAUCGAUAAAAAAGUUUGCGACCUCGAUGUUGGAUUAAAAUUUAUUUUAGGUGUAGAAGCUUAAAAA